GCGAACGGGUGAGUAAUAUAUCGGAACGUACCCAGAAGUGGGGGAUAACGUAGCGAAAGUUGCGCUAAUACCGCAUACGAUCUACGGAUGAAAGUGGGGGACCUUCGGGCCUCAUGCUUUUGGAGCGGCCGAUAUCUGAUUAGCUAGUUGGUGGGGUAAAGGCUCACCAAGGCGACGAUCAGUAGCUGGUCUGAGAGGACGACCAGCCACACUGGAACUGAGACACGGUCCAGACUCCUACGGGAGGCAGCAGUGGGGAAUUUUGGACAAUGGGCGCAAGCCUGAUCCAGCAAUGCCGCGUGAGUGAAGAAGGCCUUCGGGUUGUAAAGCUCUUUUGUCAGGGAAGAAACGGCCGGGGCUAAUAUCCCCGGCUAAUGACGGUACCUGAAGAAUAAGCACCGGCUAACUACGUGCCAGCAGCCGCGGUAAUGCGUAGGGUGCAAGCGUUAAUCGGAAUUACUGGGCGUAAAGCGUGCGCAGGCGGUUUUGUAAGUCUGACGUGAAAGCCCCGGGCUCAACCUGGGAAUUGCGUUGGAGACUGCAAGGCUUGAAUCUGGCAGAGGGGGGUAGAAUUCCACGUGUAGCAGUGAAAUGCGUAGAGAUGUGGAGGAACACCGAUGGCGAAGGCAGCCCCCUGGGUCAAGAUUGACGCUCAUGCACGAAAGCGUGGGGAGCAAACA
rnacentral:rRNA from 1 species